rnacentral:rRNA from 1 species
AACGAACGCUGGCGGCAUGCCUAACACAUGCAAGUCGAACGAGACCUUCGGGUCUAGUGGCGCACGGGUGCGUAACGCGUGGGAACCUGCCCUUAGGUUCGGAAUAACUCCCCGAAAGGGGUGCUAAUACCGGAUAAUGUCUUCGGACCAAAGAUUUAUCGCCUUUGGAUGGGCCCGCGUUGGAUUAGCUAGUUGGUAGGGUAAAAGCCUACCAAGGCGACGAUCCAUAGCUGGUCUGAGAGGAUGAUCAGCCACACUGGGACUGAGACACGGCCCAGACUCCUACGGGAGGCAGCAGUGGGGAAUAUUGGAAAAUGGGCGAAAGCAUGAUCCAGCAAUGACGCGUGAGUGAUGAAGGCCUUAGGGUUGUAAAGCUCUUUUACCCGGGAUGAUAAUGACAGUACCGGGAGAAUAAGCUCCGGCUAACUCCGUG